GAUGAACGCUGGCGGCGUGCUUAACACAUGCAAGUCGAACGGAAAGGCCCAAGCUUGCUUGGGUACUCGAGUGGCGAACGGGUGAGUAACACGUGGGUGAUCUGCCCUGCACUUCGGGAUAAGCCUGGGAAACUGGGUCUAAUACCGGAUAGGACACCAUCUUGGGGGGUGUGGUGGAAAGUUUUUCGGGGUGGGAUGAGCUCGCGGCCUAUGUGCUUGUUGGUGGGGUAAUGGGUUACGGAGGCGUCGGGGGGUAGCCGGACGGUGAGGGUGGAGGGCCACACUGGGACUGAGAGACGGCCCAGACGCCUACGGGAGGCAGCAGGGGGGAAUAUUGCACAAGGGGCGCAAGCCGGAUGCAGCGACGCCGCGGGGGGGAUGACGGCCUUCGGGUUGUAAAAUCCUUUCGCUAGGGACGAAGCGUUAUGUGACGGUACCUGGAGAAGAAGCACCGGCUAACUACGUG
rnacentral:rRNA from 1 species